UACGUAGGGUGCAAGCGUUAAUCGGAAUUACUGGGCGUAAAGCGUGCGCAGGCGGUUUUGUAAGUCUGUCGUGAAAUCCCCAGGCUUAACCUGGGAACUGCAUCCGAUACUGGAUGGCUUGAAUCCGGGAGAGGGUAGUGGAAUUCCCGGUGUAGCGGUGAAAUGCGUAGAUAUCGGGAGGAACAUCAGUGGCGAAGGCGGCUACCUGGCCCAAUACUGACACUCAGGUGCGACAGCGUGGGGAGCAAACAGG
rnacentral:rRNA from 1 species